rnacentral:rRNA from 1 species
UGCGGUUAAAACGUUCGUAGUUGAAUUUGUGUCCCACACGGGUAAUGCACCCAAGUGCGGGUUUUGCAUUACUUGUUGCUCUGUGCGUUUUGUGUAAAAGCAAACGUAUAGUGUGACUUUAAGUGUGACGGAUGUUUUACCGGU